CACAUCCUGUGCUCAGUCUCCAGUAUGAGCAUGCUUUAAUUUUCCUUACUUUUGUCUUAACAUCAGCUGAAUGGAGUGUUCAUUUUGGUCAUUCAGUUUUGUUUUAUUAUUAUUAUUUUUAUUUAACUAAUAUUAAUUUAUUAAUAGCCUUCUCUGACCUUUUAUAAGAAUCUUUUCUACAUUCAACAUGGCACAGAGACAGAAGAGAGAUGGAACAUUUUCAUAUGCAGCAAAACAAUCCACAGACUCCAUUACAAGGUUUAGAUUCAUUGUGUUUGGAAGUGAUGAGGUUCUGAUAAAUGAAGCUUGUGACACUAUUCUUAGAUCAGCAGAUAGAAUGGAUAGCACUAAAUAUGGGACAUGUGAGUUUAGAGAGGCGUGUGUAAGCGGACGACAUGUCUCUGUAGUAAAAACUCCUGCUUAUGGGCUGGAACACUUGAAAACUUACCUGACCUUCAGAAACAGAGUCAGAUCUAUGAAAAUAGACAUGGAGUUUUGUUACUCACUGGUCUUUCCUGGGCCUCAUGCUUUUUUUUUAGUGCUUGGAGAUGUGCGUAACUCUGGUAAAGAGCAUUACAUUUUACGAGCUCUCAGUGAAGUGUUUGGCCAGGAGGCAUUAGACUACAGUAUGGUCUUAUUUAUGCAUGAAUACAAGGACAGUGAUAUAGGCAGCAACCGAUGUGUGAAAAAGUGCAGGAAAAGGUUCCACAUUUUAAAGAACAAUGAGGAAAAUGUUCUAAAGCUAUUCCAUGAUGCUACUGAGACAAUGAUAAAGCAGAGAAAGGGGAGCUUCUUUACGAAGGAUUUUGACUUGCUAGACAAAGCUGAAGCUUAUUUUAAGACAGAGUUUGAUGCUAAAUAUGAGGAGCGAGAGAGUAUACUGAGAGGAAAUUUGGCAGAAAUGAAAACAACAGAGGAAAAUCUAAGAACAAAAGUUACAGAAAUGGAAAGAAAGAAUUCUGAAAACAUGAGAGAAUUACAAGAUCUGCAUAAAGAACUGGAUGCUCAUAAAGCCAGAAUAAAUCAGUUAAACAAGGAAUUAGAUGAUUCCCAAAGCAGAGAGAAUCAUUUAAGUCAACAGAUGGAUGCUCUCAAAAAGAAAAAAUAUGAACUGAAGGAGGAGCUGUAUGCCCUCAGGUAUUACAAGAGACAGUUAGAUGUAGAACUGACUGCUUUCAACGAGAGAGAGAGAGAAAAAUUCCUGCCCACAAAAAUACAGUUAGAGCAUAACAGAUUACAGGAGCAAAGAGAAGCAGGCCUACAGGCUCCUGUGCAAGAAGAGCAUGACAGACAAAAAACUUUAGAUAAAAGAGAGGUGGAGCUAGAUGAGAGAGAGAAAAAACUGCUGCAGACCACUGGAUCACAGCAUGUUGAUCACAUCUCUACAGCUGUUACUCCCUCUUGUGUCAUAGUGUCUGAAGACAAACCCAAAUCUCAAGAAGACACUGGAUCACUUGAGUCUGAAGGAUUGAAACUUGUGAGACAAGACAGCAAGAAAUUAGAUCCACCUAAUAUGUCUGAAAACAAAGUCAAACCUCAGAGUGAAAGAGAAUGUGAGAUGGAAAGUAGAAUAACAGAUUCACAAACCAGCAGAUUACUUAAAGGUGAAAGACUGAAACCUGUGAGACGGAACAGCAUUCGAGAUCGACCCAGCAGUAAGUAUUUCACAUAACGAGCAAGCAACCUCUUGCUGUUUUGCUUGUUAAGUGUGUUUGUGCAUCUUACUUUAAAAUGAAUAACAUUUGCUUUUAUAUUUUGGCUUAAAAAUGUUCCAAAUACUUCCAAAUAAGCUUUUAGUUUUGAAUAUGAUGUUCUUUUUUAUAAUCAUAGUGUCUGAAGACACACUCAAACCUCAAGAAAACACUGGAUACCUUGAGUUUGAAGGACUGGAAAUUAAUUGUGUGACAAAACAGCAAGGAAAUACUGUAGAUUCACUUAAUGGUAAGAAUUCUUUUAUGGAAAUGUAGAAAAUUACAUAAUAUGUUUUUAGGCCUGUUACUCAUUUCACAGAGGUGUUGGAGGGAGGGGGAGGGGGUUGUUCAUUUACAUAGGAAUGCUCAAUGUAAAAUUUAUAAAAUGCUGAUCCAAAACUAAAUCACUUUUGUUCUUUACAAGUGUUCCCCCAUUGUUCUUUACACAGCAUGAUCUACUCUGCUUGCAAAUUGUUAAAUUCUUAUGCUUGACUCUUUCCUAGCUAGACAAACAAUUUCUGUCAUUUCUGGCAAUCCACUUUUUCACUGGUGGGGCACUGACAUGCAUUUGCUGGAAUAGUACAGAAUCUCUGGAUUUUUAUUUAUUUACUUCUGCUCUAUGCCGAUAAAACUGUAGUUAUGCAAAAGUAUGUGAUUUUUUUUCUUUCUCUCUUUCUCUUUCCAUUCAGUUUUCUGGAGUGAAGAGUGCCAGUAUCCCUCAGAACUGAGUUCUGAGUUCUAGCAUGUAAUGGGAAAUGCUUCAUGUACUCCCACAUGAUAGCAGUGCAUGUGUUUCAUGAACUGUAAGACAUAUAUUUGUACAUCGCAUAUUUGUACUUUAGUAACUAUAUUAGUAAGCAAAAGCUAAUGUCUGUAACUGGUUUUGAUAUGGUUUUUGAUGUUUUCUCAGAAUAUUUUAUGUGUAUAAGUUCUGUUAAAUCUGGCAUUAACAGGUAUGUUGAUCACAGUUACAAUGAGCAUCUUUUUUUCAUGAAAAAUGUGGUUUAGAGGAGAUUGAACACAAAAUGAAAUUUUAAAAUCCUUGGUGAUUAAUCAUAUCAUCUGAUCACAUGCCUGUGUAACUGUUUUCAUUAUUGUGAAAUAGGAAACCUUGUCUAAAGUACUCCCUUGAAGGUUUUAAACUUUGAACUAAACUGAGCAUUAAUGUGAUCUUUUUUAUAAAGCCUGUAAAGUUUUGUAGGAUUGUACUAUUAACAUGCUAUAUGUAAAUAAAUAAUGGCAUAGGCUUAUUAUUUAACA
ensembl:lncRNA